GACGGGUGAGUAAUGGCUGGGAACCUGCCCUGACGUGGGGGAUAACAGUUGGAAACGACUGCUAAUACCGCAUGAUGUCUACGGACCAAAGAGGGGGCUUCUCUUUUCUUCGGAAUAGGGGACCUCUCGCGUCGGGAUGGGCCCAGUUGGGAUUAGCUAGUUGGUGAGGUAAUGGCUCACCAAGGCGACGAUCCCUAGCUGGUUUGAGAGGAUGAUCAGCCACACUGGAACUGAGACACGGUCCAGACUCC
rnacentral:rRNA from 1 species